rnacentral:rRNA from 1 species
GAUGAACGCUGGCGGCGUGCCUAAUACAUGCAAGUCGAGCGAACAGACAAGGAGCUUGCUCCUCUGACGUUAGCGGCGGACGGGUGAGUAACACGUGGAUAACCUACCUAUAAGACUGGGAUAACUUCGGGAAACCGGAGCUAAUACCGGAUAAUAUAUUUAACCGCAUGGUUCAAUAGUGAAAGAUGGUUUUGCAUCACUUUAUAAAUAGACCCGCUCCUAUUUAGCUAGUUGGUAAGGUAACGGCCUACCAAGGCAACGAUGAGAAGCCGACCGGGCGGGGGGAUGGGCCACACGGGAACUGGGAGAGGGCCCAGACUCCUAGGGGGGGCAGCGGUAGGGAAUCUUCCGCAAUGGGCGAAGUCCUAACGGAGAAAGGCCGCGUGAGUGAUGAAGGUCUUCGGAUCGUAAAACUCGUUUAUAAGGGAGAAACAAAUGUGUAAGUAACUAUGCACGUCUUGACGGUACCUAAUCAGAAAGCCACGGCUAACUACGUG